rnacentral:lncRNA from 1 species
UGGGAAUCGCCGGAGGCAUUCAAGCCAGAGAGGUUCACGCAUAGUUUGGAUCUCGAGUUCGCGGGAAAGGACUUCAAUUUGAUACCAUUUGGGGAAGGUCGCAGGAUCUGCCCCGGGAAGAACCUCGGGAUAAAAACGGUGGAGAUCAUGCUCGCCAACCUUCUUUACUCCUUCGACUGGGAACUUCCAACGGGAAUGACGAGGGAGGAUAUCAACAUGGAUGAGGCGCCGGGUGUUGCUGUGCACAAAAGACAUGCUCUCCGCCUUCUCGCCACUAGAUAUAGCAGCAUCAAUAGCUAAAAUAUAUACAUAAAUACACCACUGUGCAUCUAUGUAUCAUCUCUCGACAAUCUACCUAUAUUUAUUAUGUAUUUUACUAGCUAUCUUAUGUGUACAAUUUGCAAAUCAUAUGCUUAUACCUCACAACUUCUCAGGAGUACAAAAAUUAAUUUAUCAAUAUUUAAGAAUUGGGUAUAAUCACAUAUUCUACGUUAUUAUGUUAAGACAAUUAAUUUGCCACAGCAGUGUUUUAGAAAAAUUUGAAAGCCGAUCUGGCCUGACCUAUGCACCACUUUCAUGGAGGAAGUAUUUGGCUGUUGAUACUUCCGAUUGAAUAAAGAUUUAUUCAAUUAUAUAGGAUUUAAAAUGUUUGGAGCAUUUAAACGUGAGGUCGUUGUUUUAACGCAUUCAUCUAGGAUUUACUCGCUCAAAUAAAAAAGGACGGGGCGAGGUGGAGCACGACCACGGACCGACUUGGUCCGUUAGACUAGGCAGUGUUGGGCCGCUGUCGUUGAGCCCGUCGGCCCGAUGCUCGGCACGGCACAUGCUUCCUGGGCCCUAAGGCCUCUGCCUUUGGACCUUAAGGUAUGAGUUCCGAAGCUAGCAUUAAAUUAUGGGAUAGGCUAAAAUACAUACAAAUUAAAAUUUUAGCGGUCAAAUUUUUUUUAAAAUUAUGAUGGUACUAAAAUAAAAAAAUAAAAAAUAAAAAAUAAAAAAAUUUAGAAUUGAGAGAGCACUUAGUACCAAGAACUUUUAAAAAAAAUAGAUUAAUCAAUAUACUUUUAAAAUUAAAUAAAAAUAUAUCUUUUAAAUUUUUAUAUGUAAAGAAAUAUUAUACAAAUUAUGAAAAGUCUGAAAGCGGGCGUGGCCCCCCUCAACCCCCAUAUAGCUCCGCCUCUAAGUUCCUCCCUAGAAGCUCUCAUUCAAAAGUCUGCCAAUAAAGACCUUGGGAAGAAUGGGUUGGUCCAUAUUGGAUCAACGCAUCGUAUAAUUUUUAAAUUUAUAUUUUAAAAAAAUUUAAGAGACCGGUCCAGAGCACGGCCUGGUUCGACAAUCCAAACCAAAGGUCUGUAGUGACAGAGGCUUGGAAGAUCCAACCCUCCACGGCUCAGCCAGGAUUUCAAAGCCGAACCCAAUUCCUAGCCUGUUUUGGUAUGAAUAAUAUGAGUCGUGUUGCUUGACACGACCCAUAUUACACUCCUAUAUUUAUAUCACAUAUUUUUACCUCUUUCUUCUUUAUCUAUUCUUUUUCAUCAUUACGGUUGACAUAUUCUACUUCUCUCAUUCUACUUCUCACAAGGAAUGAAAUAAUUAAAUUAAGGUAAAAAUUUUAGUUACUCUCUGAAAUUAUUGUAACCAUGUUUUACAUAAAAUCAUGAGUGAAUUUGUUGAAAAUCAUAAAUUGGAGUCAUAGAUAAAUUUGUAGGAAGCAGGUAUUUUGGGGUGGGAAGUGAUAUGAGAGUAAGGUUAAUGUAGAAGAAAAGAUGUAACUUCAGUCUAUACUAUAAAAAUAUAAUCGAUAGACAAAUAAUGUGCACUUGAUAUUUUGUUCUAUCCGUUUCGUUUAUUUUUUUUAAUAAUAAAUUUAGCUGGAAAUAUGAAUCAAUUAGAAUUCGAACUUGAGAUUUCAGAUACUAACCACCAAGCCCUUUAUCACUUGCGCUAGGAACAGUAGAUUUUAUUCUGCUAAAUUGGAAGUGUUAUUCUUUUGUGCUCGAUAGAAUCAUGUCGCUGGCAUUAUAAUAGCAGAUCUUGUGGAUGUGUCGAAUUUCUUAGUGUUUGGUUCAGUGGAAAAUUAUGUGAUAACCUGUUUCUUGCAUAUAUGUCCUCAUGUGUAGGUAAUAAUUGUUAUUUUAUUUGAUGUUGACAUUGAUAUUGGAGCUGGAGCUCCUAUUUAAACUAUAAUAACAGAUGCGCAUAUUCUUUCUUGUAUUGCUUAAGCUCUGUAGUCUGGAAGUACAGUAGUUUCUUCGGUGCUUUCGCGAAUUUAUUAUGCAAUUAUGAUGCACAUAAUAUUGACAGAUACCUGGACAAGAAAAAAGAGCCUGAGGUGCAACAAUAGAUUCUGAAAGCAGGUUGUAUCUUCGGCUUAUUCAAUAAGAGGUGAUGCAACUGAAGCUUUAUGUUGUUCACAUUGCAAUUCGAAUUGUUUGUACUCUUCUUUUCAAAGAUCAUGCAACUUCACUGGUGUUCUCCUCCUAAAUCAAUUUAAACUGUGUUGCGAAUUUGUUGCUUUGUGGAUUUGCGAUUUUCUGUUGGUAUCCAAGAAGGGUUUGAUUCUUUAUUUUUUAAAUAAAUGUUUUAAAUAAUUGGAAUGACUAUAUGAAUAGUGUCAGUAGUAAAAUAACCGAUUUUCGUUUGGGCUUGUGUGUGAAAGUCUAGGUCCUAAUUUAUGCCACGGGCUAGAAGAUCAAAGAUUGUGCUGGAAGAAUUUGUAGAAAAAAUGUACGUGCACUCUGUUAUAGGAUGCACAUCUUCUAUCUUUUUAUUCUAGAGUUUAAUCAAUCCUUUUGAAUUCUUAGUAUAAAAAAAAUUGUAGUAUAAGUGAGUAAAUCCUAGUCGUGGAGAAAGUGGGGCGUAAAUCUAAUACCUUUAGCAUGCAGGUAGCAUUACUCAUUUCUUUAAUAUUGACUCUUACUAAAGUUGUAAUUUUACAAUUCAUCCAACAUAAGAAAGAAACAAUCUAGUGGGUUGUUUCUUUGCAUGCAGUUCCUACCGCAUGUCUAAUUGCUCGUGAAGCUAAUUUUAUUAUUUGAAUUGAUGUAUUGGAAACUGUAAGAAAAGAUCUAUAUCAAUAUAUAGAAGGUAAAAUUACAUCCAAAUUAGCUGCAAGUUUAGUUGCAAUAAUUGUAACAAGUAAUUUCAAAUAAGAAAUAAAGAUAUAUAGCAGCCUAAUCAAUUUUCAAACUAAACAAAUAUAGUUUCGUCUAUGACGGAUAUAAUCUCUUCAAUAUAUAUAUAUAUAUAUAUAUAUAUAUAUAUAUAUAUAUAUAUAUAUGUGUGUGUGUGUGUGUGUGUGUGUGUGUAGGGGGAUACAAUUUCUCAAUACAGUUACUAGUUAAAUGCAUCCAAAUUUAUAGAAUUUUUUACUAUAUUCAAUUAAACAAAAAUUUAUAACUGGGACUCUUAUAUUUUUAACUAUCUUAGAUAUUUUGAAUUAAACCGAAUCAAACAACCUUCAAGCGUAGCAGGGUCGUCAUCAUCAUUCUAGAAGAACCAAAGAUUGCGGAGAACAACAAUCCUCGGUGUCGUACGUUUCAUAUUUUUAUUUUUAUUUUUUUUUUAGAGAUAGAUACCACGUUACCCGCUUCGUUUAUUUCAUUUAGAAAUAAAUUUAGCUUGAAAUGUGAAUGAACUAGGAUUCGAACUUGGGUCUCGGAUACCAACCACCAAGCCCUUUGCCACUUGCUUCUAGGGACAGUCGGUGUUUCAUAUUUUUAUUGUUCUCAGUUUUUGUUAGUUUUUUUUAGGGAAAACUUCAAAAACUCCCCCUGUGGUUUCGUAGUUUCUCACUUUGCCCCCAUGUGGUUUAAAGUGUAUCAAUUUGUCAUCAUCUGGUUUCGUUUUUAUCUUUUCGGUAGCUUUUUCGUUAAUAUUUCGUUAAAUUAUAUACAAAAAACUUCAGAUAUUCAUCUAGAUUUAUCAAAUAUUCACUUUAGUACCCUUUAAUUUUAACUUUAUUACUGAUUUAAGGAAAAAAAAUAAUGAAAUUGAUAAGAAAAAGAGAAAAACAAAACCACAGGGGGGCAAAUUGAUACAUUUUAAACCACAGGAGGGCAAAGUGAGAAACUACGAAACCACAGAGAGGGUUCUUUGAAGUUUUCCCUUUUUUUUAUUUGAACAUAAAUUACAGUUUAUAUAUAUAGGAUUAGGUGACACUGGGGGGAGGGACUUAAUUAUGCUUCCAGUUGCUACUUAGCUUGUUAAUUAGGCAUGUUGAAAACAUCGAUCUCUUUGCAGAAAUGACGGAGAAGUAGGUGAGAUUUACGUUUUAUUUAUUUGGCCGGAGAAAUCCUUGGACGUUCGAGUUUAAACUUUAAACAAUGUGAGUGCAUACGAUUUGUCCAAUAAAUACAAAAUAACAACAAUAGAAAAUAGGCCCUAAUUUGAAUAUUCCUAGGGACGUCUCUAUCCAUCGUACGUGCUAAAAUAUAUAGAAGCAAUUUAUGCUAGACGCAUUAGUAAGCCGUAUUGGGCGUCAGCAGUCGCCCAACGGCAUUAAGGCUUAAUUUGGUAUUGAGAUGAAUCUAACGCUAUUAGAUAGAAUAGAGUUGAGAAAAAACAUAUAUAUAGGGAUAUGCUACUGCGUUCUCCGAUAGGACUGCAGAAAAUAUAUCAUAACCUACUAACUGCAAUAUACGGAACAUAAUAUUACGUACGGAAACAAACAUGGUAUUUUUUCAUCGUCGUUUCUCACUGCACGUAAUGCAAUGCCCCCGCAAUCCCAAACGAAACCUAAGUAAAUUGGAGUUAAAACAACCGAAUAGGGUAAUUACAUGCACUUUUGGUCCUCAAUCUCUGGGGCGUGUGAUAUUUUAGUUUUCGAAUUUUAAUAUGCUGUAAUUUCUGAUUCGAACCAUAAGGUGCAUUACACUUUAAUUUUAGAACUUUAAUUAAUUACAAUUUAUACUCGAACUAUAUAAGUAAUGUGAAGCUUUAGUUCUCGAACUUUUUGGAUUAUUAUAAUCAGGUUCCACAGCCUAAUUUUUUGAAUAAAUAUUGAUGAAUUAAUAAUAUCGAAAUGGUAUAGUAUUUUAAUUACUAUUGCUUCAUCAAGAAGUAUAUUACUACAAUUCAGAAAGUUCGAGAACUAAAAUCUUACAUAUUUCAUAGAUUGAAUAAAAAAUUAUGGCUAAUUAAGAUUGAAGAUUAAAGUGUCAUGUACCUUAUAGUUUGAUUUAAAAAUUAUAACUAAUUAAAAUUUAAAAACUAAAGUGUGUCAAGCGUCUUAUAGUUUUAGCUAAAAAACUUGAGAACUAAAAUAUUAUGUUCGUCAUUAUUUGAGGACCAAAAGUUUUAUUUACAUAGAAGCUCAAUUUUAUAUAUAUAGGAUAAGGCUAUUAUACUCUUAUGAGUAUAGAUUUUUUUGUACUCAUAAAUUUUUCGGCCAUUAGAUAAAAUAAUAUGCAGUGAGGAUGAUAGUAGUUCUCUAGGGUUGAACGGCCAGUUGGUUGAAUAGUAUGAUAAAAAAAAUGUGUUUAACGGCAAAAAAUUUUUGAGUAUAAAGAGAUUUAUACUCAUAAGAAUACAGUAGCCGAACUCUCUCUCUCUCUCUCUAUAUAUAUAUAUAUUAAUUUUUUUGUUUAAAAUUUAACCACUUUAAUGCACAUAAUAAUAAUAAUAAUAAUAAUAAUAAUAAUAAUAAUAUCUUUGCGGUAAUCCCAAUGGGAGCCUCCAGAGUCUUAGAAUUAGGUUGAUAUGGGAGAGAGAUUUCCUUUUUUUUUUAUGCACAGAAAUUUCACGCAUACACUAGCGGAUGGACUGGAGUAGAUUUUUCUAAUGCACGAGGUUGGACUGGACUGGAGUAGAUUUUUCUAAUGCACGAGGUUGGACCGAGAAAACCUGUCAAAAAUCACGCGGAUUACCACUCGAUCUCUAGUGCGCAUUUACGUUUCCAACUCGGAAUCCGUGAUUACAACAGCACAAUAAUUUACUACAUAUUAUUAUCAGCCUCUAGUGCGCACUUUAUAGCAGGAAUUGAAUCAGUACUAAAGAUAUAACAGCAUAAUAUUUAACCACUAGAUUAGGCCUUCUGCCUAAACAUGGUACGUAAUUAUUAUUAUUCAAAGCAAAAGUAUACAAAACAAAUAAAAUAAAACAAAAAUUUUGUCACAUAAGGAUAGCUCAUCUCAUUAUGCACGGGGCUAAUAAUAGAAAACUCCAAAUCUGAAUUUUUGAGUAGGGGUGCCGUUUUUUCUGGGCCCACAAGAUUAAUUUCUUCUCAAUCUGCACCAACUCGUGUCGUCUCCUUAUCGCCAACGUUAGCCAUCUUCUGCAUUAAUUGCUGAGUAAAAAGUUUGACUUCUUAUGGAUGGACAUGCAGGUACGGAGACGGAACUCCACGUCGACUAACAUCCAUCUUACACCGCCUUGAACAGGUUUUUGUUUUUGUGCUCAUUACGUAUCACAAUCACCUCUACAAGUCUUAUGCGUUCGUGUCGGACAUGCAUAUAUCCGAUAUAAAUACUCUUAGAACACUCGUUUAAUAUCGAUUCAUAAUAUAUACAAUUAAAAUAUAUAUAUAUAUAUAUAUAUAUAUAUAUUUAUUUAUUUAUUUAUUUUAUUUUUUUUUGCAUAUACAAUAUACGUUAAUAAAAUAUUUUAGUUUUUUUAUCAAUAUAUACAAUUUUUUUGACAAUAUAAAUAAAUUAUGUAUGAUGGAAAUUUUUUUUCUUAAAAUAUAUGAACUAUUAAUGAAAAUUUUACUAACUUUCAUUUAUAUGAAAAAUAUAAUAAUAUUUUAUCAAAAUUAAUAUUUUAUAUAUAAUAAAAAUAUAUUAUUAUAUUAAUAAUAUUGUAUUUUAUUAGCGGUGUUUAUGUCGUGUCCGUAUUUUAAUUUUUUAAAAGUUUCCAACUCAAGGUGUCCGAAUCGUGUUGUAUUUCGUAUUCUGUGUCAGUGUCCGUGACGUCUAAAUUUUCGUUUAAAUUUCACUAUUUUUUUUCUUUUUUUUUUUGUUUUGGUGGCUGGAGUGUCCGCAUGCGCACUGAUCAUCAUUCCAGUUUCUGCUGUAUUCCGAUAAUACAACAUCUUUUAUAUUUGAAGUUGCCGAAGUGUGUGACCGUUUUUCUCAUUCUCGCUGCUAUCGUACCAAUGGGUUUAAGCUGUUUGUCUCAUCAAAAUGUUUUCAGGGAUUAAGAGUUCAAAUUAACGAUCGAUAUAGUUAAAGUUAAUAUAAAAAAUUUAAAUGCCUGAAAAGUAAAUUUGUGGUUUUGAAAGUUUUUUAUAUCCUGAUGGAAAGAUGUUGGGUUUGAUUUUUUAUUAUUUUUUAUUCUAAUAAGUUAUUUGCUCAGUUAACUAACGGUGUAAAACAAUUCUAAUAUAUUAUUUUGUGAUAGAAUAUUUUUUUUUUCACCAUUUCUAUUUUGUUUGACAAUCCCGAUCUUUAAUUGAAAAGCUUUAAUCUCCAUUUACAUAACAUUAUUUGUUAGCAAUUGUUCAUUUUGUGGUCUUCAAAAGAUAAGAAUUUUUUUUAAAAAAAAAUCACACAAUUCAAUUCCUGAACACUUUAUUUGUUUUAGGUCAUGCUUGACGGUCUGAUUACUAAUUCAAAAUUUUUAUCUUUAAAAAUGGCGUAGGGGCCAUUUGGAACUGAGGCUUGUCCAGUACUAACCAGAAAGAUAGAGUUGGAAGAAAAUCACUUAAGGAUAUAUUUUUUUAUUUUUCAAUGAGAAGGUAAAAAAUAUAUUGUAAUCGAUUUUUUAUGAUACUGAUAUUUCAUAUAAAAGUAAAUAAAAUAUAUUUUUAUCGUUCUUUUAUAAUAUAAUUUUUUUGUAAUUUCAAAUGUCGAGACAAAUUGGUGUGGUUUUUCUGGGCCUAGAAGACCAAAUUAAAUAACAAAGGAGGAACGGAGAAACGGAUAAGAGGAAAACAUGCUGGCUAAUUAUUGUGGCGCCUCAAUUCUUGACUAGACUAGAAGGGACCCCAAAAGCAUUUGCCCUUUCAUUUUUUGGAUAGAUAGAAAUGGUGGGCUGAGCUUUUAAUUUCUUUUCAUAUUAUCAAACAAUUGAGCUAUAAAAAUUUGUCCUAUUAUAACAGGAUAAUAAUAGCUAUAAAAAUUUGUCCUAUUAUAAUAGGAUAAUGAUAGCUAGAUUCCACUUAUCUUUUCACCACCGCCUUCAAAUGCGAGAAAUUCUACACUGUCACGCUUACAUAACGUCAUCAAUAAUAAAUCAAUCAUAUUUUUUCUUUUUAAACAAAAGUACAAUAAAAAUAUUUUUUACAAUUAUGAUGAAACAUAUAUCCCUAAUUGGUUUUACGCCACGUCACUAAUAUACCCGUUGCAUUCUAUAAUUUUUCCUUCAGUGCACUCAUCAAUUAAUUAAUAACAAAAUAUAAAAAAUGCUAUAGGCACCUCAAAAUAUAUUUUGAAAUAUUAUUAACAUGUAAAUUUUACUUAAAAUUUUGAAAAUGAAACUAGGAUGCUAUUAAUUAUAUUUUUUAGGUUAAAAUCGUGGAAAUUUUAUCAAAAAAAGUACUUGAUUACAUCAUAUAUAAUUUUGGAAAUAACAUAAGCGCAUUUACAUACAAAGGAAGAGUAAAAACAUAAAUAUCUUCAAAACUAGAUAAAAGAUGAGAGUGAACAUUAACAAUUCCCAAACCUAAGAAAGAAAAGAAAAAAGAAAUAAAUAAAUAAUGAGCCGUCUUCGAAUCUGAAACAAAUAAAUCAAGCUCGUGACAAUGAAGUUCGUGACAGAAAAUAAAAUAUGAUAGAUGAAAGUAAUCAUUUAAUCUGUACGUACGCCCAUUCAAACUCAUGUCCCUCUAAUUAUACCAGAGCGUCUCUAUAUAUUUUCGAAUCUGUCAAUCUCUAGUAUGAAAAAUACUCAUGAGGUUUAUUGGGCCUGACAGAGUUAAAGAAGAUAGAAAAGAGCAGAACAAUAAGAAGAUGAGCUAGAUAAUUGUGCUACCAAGUUGUUUUCAAUGAUACGGUUUUCAAAUCGGCGAUCGGCUCCGUUACAUUUAAUCUACAUUAUUUAAAAUAUUUAAAAAUUAAAUUUCAUAAUUUUUUGACAUCGUUUACCUAUCAAACGAGUAGUCAAAAAACGAACGGCUGAAAAUAAAAAUUUCAUAAAAAAUAAUGAUAAAAAAUUUAAAUUUAAGACCAGAGAUACCGAUCUUACUCUAAAUAGUAAAAAAAAAAUUUAUAUAAAAAUUUUAUCAGAUUUGAAUUAUUUUACACUGUUAGAUUCACAUAUGCAUCACAUCGUUCAUUAAAAUUAUCAAUUUUGAGACAUUUUGAUCACUAGCCAAAUGAUAUUGAAAAAUUAUGAAAUUUAGUUUUCAAAUACUUUUAAUAUUGUAGAGCAAGUUUAAUAAAGCCGAUCGUCGAUUUGGAAGCCGCAUCAUUGAAAACAACUUGGUAGCACGAAAGCCUCCGUGUUACCGGUCUAACUUCAUAUAUAUAUAUAUAUAUAUAAUAAUAUAUAUUAUAUAUAUAUAAUUAUAUAUAUAAUAUAUAUAUAAUAUAAAUAUAUUAGUCUGGGUUGUUACUAGGAGUCCCAGCGGAGCCCUCCGUGCUCUUAAGUCGUUUUUGAUGAUAGAAUUUUCGAAUCGACGAUCGGCUCAGUUAGACUUAAUCUAGCUAACAUAUUUGAAAUAUCCAAAAAAUAAAUUUUGCGAUUUUUCGAUAUCAUUUAGCUAGCGAUCAAAAGGAUUCAAAAUCAACAAUUUUUAAUGAUUGAUGUAUACCAUUUGCAAGUUUAACGAUGUAGAAGUUUUCAAAUCAGAUAAAAUUUUGAUAGAAAAUUUGAUAAAAGUCCCUCCUGAGCUUCAGUAAUCAUAUAAAAUAAAAUUUAAAAAAAAGACAAAAGUAGAAAUAUGACCAACAUGAAACCUAGCUAGAGUGUGCUUAAUGAAUAAAGCAAAUAGCUUGCUACCUCUUUUUCAAAAAAAAAAAAAAAAAAAAAAAAAAAAAAAAAUAAAAAAAAAAACCUAGCUAGAGUGCAUAUUUUACACCUAUCCUAUAAGGUAUGUACAUGUACAUAGCAUUGCUCAUUUAUAUUGGUCUGUGCAAAGUGUAGUUUUGUGUAAUAAAUGUGGGUUGAAUAACAUCAGUAACUCAUCAAUCUACGUAAUAAAAUUUUUACACCAUCUAAAUAACUAUUUUGUGCCGCCAACAAUACUCCUCCAUAAUAAAUAAAUGAAAGGAGAAGCUAAAAUGAGGCAUGCGGAUACCACAAAUAAAUAGCAUAUGCAUGAACUCCUUUUGAGUCCGUACCUAACGGAGAGCACUCCAAAUUAAGUUUCUAUGGCUCUUCCUAACAUGAUUGCCUCCCUGCCUUUUGUUGUUCUCCUACUGCUCCCUCUUCUACUCCUCACAAGAAGAAAGGGGAGCAGCACAUCACUAAAACUUCCCCCGGCCCCUCCCAAGCUCCCAUUCAUCGGCAACCUCCAUCAGCUUGGAAUACUCCCCCACCGCUCCCUCUCUCGGCUCUCGCAGCGAUACGGCCCCCUCAUGUACCUAAAACUUGGCUGCAGGCCGACCGUCGUGGUGUCCUCUGCCGACAUGGCCCGGGAGAUCCUAAAGACGCACGAUCUGGAGUCCUGCAGCCGACCGUCCCUCACCUCGUAUACGAAGCUCUCCUACGGUGGCUCGGACAUCGGCCUUGCAGCAUACGGAGAGCAGUGGAGAGAGCUCCGAAGGAUUUGUAUCAUCGAACUUUUCAGUGCCAAGAAGGUCGCCUCGUUUCGAUCCAUUCGAGAAGAAGAGGUGGAAAGAACUAUGAGCUUCAUAUCCGACUGCUCAACCAGUUAUCUCCCUGUCGAUUUGAGCAAAGAACUGCUAGCGCUUACGAGCACUAUCACUUGUAGAAUGGCUUUUGGAAGGAGCUACCAUGAUGUUGGAAGCAGGUUUCAGGCAAUUCUGAACGAAACACAAACUAUACUCGCAAGCCUUUUCAUCGCGGACUACUUGCCGAUCAUCGGAUGGGCCGAUUGGCUCACAGGGAUGAGAGCGAGGCUCGAGAAGAACUUUAUCGAUCUUGAUCGGUUCUACCAGAAAGUCAUUGACGAGCAUCUCGAUACAAUGCGGCAGCAACGUGACUCUAGCGAAGACUUUGUGCAUAUGUUACUGCGCAUGCAAAAGAACGAGAAUAGUCUAACCACAGACCAGAUCAAAGGAGUCCUUAUGGUCAGUAAAAUGUUCGAUGCCGAAUCACAUAAAACAUUUUCCUAUAUUGUUCUACACGAGUGAGUUUACUCUUUUUUGCAGAAUGUUUUCAUUGGUGGGAGCGAUACGUCCUCAGCCACCGUGGAGUGGGCGAUGACGGAGCUAAUGAGGCACCCGCAAGCGAUGAAAAAAGCUCAAGAAGAGGUAAGAAGCCUCGUCGGGGGGAAAGGGAAGGUAGAGGAGAAGGACAUCGACCAACUGCGCUACCUCAAGUGCGUUGUGAAGGAGACCUUGCGGUUGCACCCGGUGGCUCCCAUGCUGAUCCCAAGAACAACGUUGCAGCAUUUCAAAAUCGAUGGCUAUGAUGUCCCGCCCAAUACGAUGAUGUACAUCAAUGCUUGGGCGAUCGGAAGGGACGGGAGCUACUGGGAAUGGCCGGAGUCGUUCAAGCCGGAGAGGUUCAUUAAUAGCUCGGAUCUCGAGUUCGCAGGUAAGGACUACAAUUUGAUACCAUUUGGGGAAGGUCGCAGGAUCUGUCCAGGAAAGAACCUCGGGAUAAAAACGGUGGAGAUCAUGCUUGCCAACCUUCUUUACUCCUUCGACUGGGAACUUCCAACGGGUAUGACGAAGGAGGAUAUCAACAUGGAUGAGGCGCCGGGCAUUGCUGUGCACAAAAGACAUGCUCUCCACCUUCUCGCCACCAGACAUAUAUAGCGGCAUCUAUAGCUAGUUAGCUACUAUACUAUAGAUAAUAUAAAAUUAGUAUUUACAAUAAAUAUUUUAGCCCUUGGAUGUCUAGAGUUGUCUAUUUGGGAGUUCUAUUAGUAUGGAUCUAAGAGCCAAAAGAUCUGUAAGAAUAACUAUUUCUCUACUAUAUAUCUAAAAUAUAGUAGCUUAACCGAGUGUGUGUAUAUAUAUAAUGCCUCUCACUGAGAUGUACUCUUAUUUAUCUAUCAUUGUACAUCUAUCUAUCAUUUUUCUAUCUACCUAUAUCAAUUACGUAUCUUACUAGCUAUCUUAAUUGUACAAUAUGCAAAUCAUAUGUAUGUACAAGCUUGAUCUCACACCUUCUCAGGCGUACAAAAACUAAUUUAUCAAUAUUUAAAAAUAGGGUAGAAUCACAUAUUCUACGUUAUUAUGUUAAGACAAUUUGCUACAGCAGUGUUUAAGAAAAAUCGAGGAAGUAUUUGGCUGUUGAUACUUCCGAUUGAAUAUUAGUAUACUAAUUAAAUAAAGAUUCCUUCAAUUAUCAAGGGUUUAAAAUGUUUGGAGCAUUUAAACGUGAGGCCGUUGUUUUGAUGCAUUCAUCUAGGAUUUACUGGCUCAAAUAAAAAAAGACGGGCCGAGCUGGAGCACGGCCACGGACAGGCUUAGUCCGUCCAUUAUUACACUACCUAUUGUUGGGCUGCGGCCGUUGAGCCCGUCGGCCCGAGGCUCGACACGGCACGAACUCAAGGCCUUUGCCUCAGACCUUGGGGUAUUAGUUCCUCCCUAGACGCUCUCCUUCCGAAGUCUGCCAAUAAAGACCUUGGGAAGAAUGGGUUGGUCCCUAUUGGAUCAAAACCUCGCAAUUGGUCAGCUUUUUUAAAAAAAUUAAAAAUUAAAAAUAAAAAAUAUAAUUUUUUAAAAAAUAAAAUAUUCACUAUUUUAUAAAUUUUUUUCUAAAUUUCAAUUGCUUUGAUCAAAAUAUAAAUUUAAAUAGGAGUAAUUUAAUUUUUUUAAUUUUUAUUUAAAAAAAAUAAUAAUAAUAAGAGACCGGUCAGCCUGAUUUGACAUGGCCAGUGACUUUCAGACCAGAGGGCCGUGCUAGGCCAGAGGCUUGGAAGAUCGACCCUGCACGACUUGGCCAGGAUUUGAAAGUCGAACCAACUCCUAGCUAGCUUAUUUUGAUCUGAAUAAGGAGGUGUUCGGCUUAGCUUUUAAAAAGCUCUUUUGGGUUGAAAAGUGAUUUUCGGCCCAAUAGAGCGUUUGGCAAAUUUAUUUUUAAAAUCUGAUUCUGCUUCUCAGAAUCAGAAAACUGAUUUUGAAGGCCCAGAAUCAGAAGCUGAAAAAAGCUGCUUCUUGAAAACUGAUUCUAAUUUUGGACUCAAAUAUUAAAUUUUUAUUUUUAUUUUAAAUUCAAUGUUUAAAUUAAAAUUUAAUUAGUUUUUUGUGCAUAAACGUUAUAUAGUUUUUACAUUGAUUUUAAUAUCAAACUUUAGUACUAUAUUUAUAAUUCGAUAAGCGAUCAAUUUUAUAUUUAAAAAUAUUCAAAAUAUGAUGGUGGACUUUUAAUUCUAACAAAUAAGUAUUCUAGAAUUUAUUAAAUAGUUUAAUAUAUUCUUUUUUGAAAUGAAAUUAUUAAUUGAAUAAAAUCGAUGGACGCUCAAUUCUAUCUUUGUCUGGAAUAAAAUUAAAAUAUAAAAAAAAAAAUUACGCUUUUGAUCCUCAAACUAUAAGGCAAGUGGCAUUUUAGUCCUCAAAUUUUAAUGAGUUAUAUUUUCUUGCUCAAACUAUGAGGCAUAUAAAGCUUUAGUUUCUAAAUUUUAAUUAGCUGCAAUUUUAGACUCGAACUAUGAAAUAUAUAAUAUUUUAAUCUUCAAUUUUCACUGUUAUUAUAAAUAUAAUUUAUUAUUUUUAUAAUUUUUUAAUUUUUUAUCAUUCAUAUAUUUUAUUAUAAAUAUGUAGAUCGAAGGAUUUGGAGAUUUUUUUUUUUUUAUAUGAAUCCCAUCUAAUUCUUCUCGUUUAUUAUAAAAAAUUUAAAUAUAUAUUUUUUAUGAAUAAUUUUGAAAUAAUUUUAACUAUAUGUAUUAAAUAUAAAUUUUAAUUUUAUAAUAUUGAUCACUUAGAUAUAAAUCGUAUAAUAAAAAAUAAAAAAAAUUGAUAGAGUUUAAAUUAUUUAUUUAUUUUAACAAAUUUAGUUGUGAGAAUCAUAUGAAUUAUAUUAACUAAAUUUAUAAAGCUAAACGACGCAUUUAAAUUUUAAAGUCAAAGUAUUAUUGACUGGCUCAUAUUUAAUAUAUAAAAAAGUUGGAUAGUAAAAAUAAAAUUUUGAAAGCUUGAAUAGCUAAUUUAAAAUAAUUCAUAGUUCAGAAAUACUUUGUAUAUUUUAACUUUAAUUUUAAUAUCAAUCUUCGAUGCCAUAUUUAUAGUUUAAUGAGUGAUUAAUUUCACAUUUAAAAUUUUUUGAAAUAUUCAAAAUAUGAUUGGUCGACUUUUAAUUUUAACAAUUCGGCAUUCUAAAAUUUAUUCGAUAAUUUAACAUUCUUUCCUCAUAUGACUUCGUUUGGAAUAAAAAUAAAACAUAAAAAGAUAAAUUACACUUUUGGUCAUCAAACUAUAAGAUGCGUGAAACUUUAGGCCUCAAAGUUUCAUGUAUUACACAAUUUCUUGCACAAACUAUAAGGCACGUAAUGUUUUAGUCCUUAAACUUUAAUUAGUUGUAAUUCUUGGUUCUAAUUAUAAGGCAUAUAAUAUUUUAAUUCUCUACUCUUACUGCUGCUAUAAAUAUAAUUUAUUAUUCUUAUAAUUUUUUUCUUAUUUAUUUUAUACUUCUUAUAUUUUUAUUCUUAUAGUUUUACUAUAACAGCUGUUGUGUCUUCUUCAACUUCUUUUAUUUAUAUUUUAUUUUUAUUCUUUAACUCUUUUUUUAUUUCUUUCGUUGUUUCUUUUUUUUAGCUUUAUUUUUUUUUGUAAAAUUUUUUAUCUUUAUUUAUUUAUUUAUUUUUGUGGAAUCGAUUCGCUGCAACGCGCGGACACCUUCACUAGUAGUAUAAUUAAGUCUUACAAAAAAAAUGAUUGCAGCACAUCGUAUGUGAUAACUAGAGUGAGGCUGAUAUAUAUGCUUUUGGAAAUUCGGAACCCUCCGUACUUUCAAGUCGUUUUCGAUGUUGGAAUUUUCGAAUCGACGAUCGACUCCGUUAGACUUGAUUUAGAGUAUUUAAAGUAGCUAGAAAAAAAAUUUUGUGAUUUUUCGAUAUCAUUUUCCUAAUAAUCGAACGGGCUCAAAAUCAAUAAUUUUAAUGGCCGUGGUGAGUCGUUUGCAAAUUUAAUGGUGUAAAUAUUCAAAUCACGUAAAAUUUUGAUAGAAAUUUUUUUAUACUAUAUAAAACAAAAACAAUUUCUGAUCUAAAAUUUCAAAGCCAUAUCAUCACAUUUUGUAAAAUUUUUAUUUUCAGCCGUUGAUUUUGAGCCCCUUCAAUUACUAGGCAAAUGAUAUUGAAAAAUCGUAAAAUUUAUUUUCUAUAUAUUUCAAAUACUCUAAGAGCAUGUUUGGUUCACCUAUUUUAGAUUAUGGAAUCGGAAUGGAAUUCAUUGAUUCCGAUAGUUGCCGUUUGUUUUAUAGAAAUCGGAUUCCAAUUCCCAUUCCACUCCGGAAUGGAAAUGGCCAAAUCUAUUUAUAAUCCAAUUCGGUUUUAAAUUCCGGAUUGGCUCAUUCCAAAGUAAACUAUUUAAAAUUUUCUUUCAUCAACACCUACCUCCUCUCCCUUCAUCACUUUUCUCUCUCUUAAUCAAAAUCCUCUUUCAAAAAUUUUAAAUUUUCAUUUCGAUUUCCAUUCCAAUAAUGAACCAAACAUUUUUGGAUGAUUCGUCAUUUCAUUUCCUAUUCCAAAACAAUCCAAUUUUAUUUUUCAUUUCUAUUUCAAUCAUGAACAAAACAUGCCCUAAAUUCAAUCUAACGGAAUCAAUUGUAAAUUUAAAAAUCUCACCAUCAAAACGACUUAAUGGUACAUAAUAAAAACGAUUUGAUAGUACGGAGAUGUACGGGUGUGAUUUAAUUCUUUUCUGGGGCCCACUAGAUUUAACCUAGUGUGUGCCAGUUUCAACAUGCGUCCUCAUUUCUCCAUCCACUACGUAGCAAUUGCUAUCUUCUAUAUUCAGCGCGUGAGACUGUGAGAGCAACUGCAUAAAAGGAGUCAGAUACGUAUACAAGUGUCCCUGAUUUGAUAUACUGUACCAAUAUUCUAAAAAUAUAGGUAGACAAAAAAAAAAGUGUAUGUUCUGCCCAUUUAACUUCGAGUCCGAUACGAAUGAGUAUUUAAAUUAUUAAUAUAUUUAUCGGAUCUAUUUGAACAGAUUUGAAUAGUAAAUAUUUGUUUACUAUCCGCUUAAAAUUAGGUACGUAUCGGAUACGUGUUAAAUCUAGAUCAAAUAUAUGUACCCGCAUGCGUAUUUUUUUUUAUAGACUAUUAAAUAAUUUUUGAAAAAAUCAUAAACUUUUUAUUAUAGAAAACUCGCAUUCUAAUGAGUUGCACCCAGGUAGAGAGAUCGGAGAGGUAAAGAGAGCGGCUAGAGUUUGAUUUUUUUUCUUUUUUUACUUUGUUCCUUAAUUCCAGCAAUAAAUAGAGAUUUCUAUUUAGAGAGAAAGAUUCAAACAGUAAUCAAAAGUGGUUAGAACUAAAAAAAAUAAGAAGUAAAAAAAAAAAAAUUUAAAAAAGAAUAAGCAUAACGGCUAGGUUUCACUGAGAUGAAAAUGCACAAAUACCCUUUAUCUAUAAGUUCUAUAAAAAUUAAUCCCUCAACUUUAAAUUUUUUUUAUUUACUAUUGCAUAUUUCACUCCGAAUCAGAGUUCGGAUUUAAAAACUAUUCCGGACCGGUCGGAUCCAAGUCCGACCCAAAAUUUUCAUGAAUUUUUUUAUCCAUAUAUUAUUUAAAUAACAAAAACGUGAAUAAUUUAGGCCUCCUCUAAUAUCUUCUUAAUUUUUUUUAAUAUUAAUUUUAUAUAACUAAUAUAUUGAUAGAAAGAUUCUUUUUUUCCUUCGUAUUUUUAUAAUUGAUUAACUUGGAUAUAAACAAAACAUCCUAAACAUAAUAUCCGUAGGCAAGAACCACAAAAAUAUAGGAGCCUUAUCCAUAUGGAAAUGAUUUUGCAACCAACUUUUAUUAAUAGAUUCAACUAUAGUAUAUAAAUACAAGGAUAAAUCAAAACAUGUAGCCUUUAUGAGUAGGGCACAGAAUUACGACGUGUAGAGCAUGAACAAAAUUUUAUGGGCCCCAGACAAUUUUACAUUUUUAUGGGCCCCAAACAAUUUUAUUUGGGGAUUGCUCGGAUGGGCGCUGUGUGGCGGGUGGCGCUCAUCCGAGCCACCCAGCAAAAAUAGUUGAAGAGAGUCUCCACGCCAGUUGAAGGGGUCUCCAUGUCAUUUUAACACAGCAAAGGGUCGAAUGGGAGGAAUUCUACAUUGUCACACUUGCACCACGUCAUCAAUAACAAGCCAAUCACAUUCAUCCUUUUCAAACAAAAGUACAAUAAAAAUACUUUUUUACAAUCAUAAUGGGACAUAUAUUCUUAAAAGGAUUAAUUUGAUUGGUUUGUUACGCCACGUCACUAAUAUACCCGUUGCAUUCUAGAAUUUUUCGUCGAAUGGGCACCGCUCUCCGCACGGCGCCCAUCCGAGCAAUCUUCAAACCUGUUUGAGCAUUAUGUUCAUAAAAUUUUUAUGCGUACAGCACAAAUUGGGUUAUCUUGAUGCCUACCCUGCUACACAUGAGUUUUUAUGUGGGCUAGAGUAUCCGCCAUAUAACAAUCGUACUAGUGAAAUACUCACGCGAUGCUGCAGAUAUAAAAAUAUUUUUAUAAUAAAUUUUAUUUUUUUAAUAUGUUUAUAUAGUUUUAUAAGUCUAAUUAUUAAUAAAAUAAAAAUUAUAAAAAAUAAUUUAAUCGUUAAAUCUAUUUAAAUAAAAGUCGAUAAAAUCGGUAUAUGUGCAAAGUAAAUUUAUACAAUAAUUUAUUUUAUAAAUAUUUAUAUGAAAAUAAUUUGAGAUAAAUCUAUCAAAAUAAUUAAAAAAAUCAAUAAAUAGAAGAAAAAUAAAAAUGUAAAAGAAAUUGUUUAAUAACAUUAAUUAUAUAUACAUAGAAAUACAUUAUAUUUCGAAAAUUUUACUUCUAAAAUUUAAAUGCUCUAAUUUUUUUAUACAACGAUAUUUUACUUGAUUUAAAUUGUAUCUAUUUGGUUAGAUUUUAUUACGCAAUUUAUUAUGCGUAUUAUUAAUAAAAUUAAUUAACUAUAUUCAUAGAAUUUAGAGAUUUAAAAUUUAAAUUAAUUUCAUAGAGUUUAGAUAUUUAAAAUUUUAAAUUUUAAAUUUUAAAAUUUGAAAAUAAAUAUUAUAAAUGAAAUAUAAAAUAUAAAAUUUGAAAAUUUGGAAGUAUCAAAAUUUUAAAUUUUGAUGUCAAUAUAUAUAUAUAUAUAUAGAACUAGACUACUAUCCUAUUAAUAGCAUCAAGUCAUUUGUGCUACCAAGUUUUUGGUCAUUGGAUUAAGAGACGUACGAUUAGGAUGAUGUGGGCCCCAUACCCGACCCAAUUCCACCCGCUACCAGGGAUCAUAAGUGCGCUUACUGGUGGUGCGCUUGUACGGAUACACCGGGUGCACGUAUUAAUUUCCCUCUCGAGCAAGAGACCCCGUAGACGAGGGUUCUGGGGAGAGGUUUUAUCUCCUCGGCGCGAAGAAUCGCGGGGCACGACUCUGUUAUAUCCCCGGACAAUCCGCAACCACCGAUGAUGAAAUUGCUCUGAGGUCGGAUGGCGGUAAGGAUGAUGGGUGCUUCCGGCAGCGACGCCCGAGGUAAAAGAAAUGUAAGUNUAUAUAUAUAUAUAUAUAUAUAGAGAGAGAGAGAGAGAGAGAGAGAGAGAGAGAGAGAGAGAGAGAGAGAGAGAGCGUGUGUGCUAUUAGGAGCAGGAGGCCUCCGUGCUUCUAAGCCGUUUUUGAUGAUGGAGCUUUCGAAUCGACGAUCAACUUCGUUAGACUUGAUCUAGCAUAUUUGAAGUAUCUAGAAAAUAAAUUUUGUAACUUUUCGAUAUCAUUUACCUAACGAUCGAAAGCGUUGAAAAUCAACGAUUGAAAAUAAAAAUCUCACAAAAAGUUGUGAUAUAGUAUUAAAAUUUUCGAUCAAACAUAUUGAUCUUGCUGUAAAUAGUAUAAAGAAUUUUCUAUCAAGAUUUCAUCUGAUUUGAAUAUUUCUACAUCGUUAUACUUGCAAACGGUAUACAUCAACCAUUAAAAAUUGUUGAUUUUGAAUUCUUUCGAUCACUAGGAAAAUGAUACCGAAAAAUCACAAAAAUUAUUUUCUAAAUAGUUCAAAUACGCUAGAUCAAGUCUAACGGUGCCGAUCGUUGAUUCGAAUGCUCUAUCAUGGAAAACGGCUUAGGAGCACGAAGGCCUCCGUGCUCCUAAUAGCACACAAGACCUACUAUAUAUAUAUAUAUAUAUAUAUAUAUAUAUAUAUAUAUAUAUAUAGAGUCCGGCUACUAUACUCUUAUGAAUACGAUUGCCCUCAUACUCAUAAGUUGUUUUUGAUGAUAGAACUUUCGAAUCGACGAUCCAUACCGUUAAACAUUAUCUAGAGGAUUUAAAACUUCUGGAAAUCAAAUUUUAUAAUUUUUCGACAUCAUUUACCUUACGAUCAAAAUCUCACAAAAUUAAUAAUUUUUAGCAGCUGAUAUGGGAUAGUUGCUAGUUUAACGGUGUAAAAGAAUUAGAAUAUGUUGAAUUUUUUAUAGAAAAUUCUAUUCACUACCUAGAUAAAGAUUAAUAACUCCGAUCUUAAAUUAAAGAAUCCGAUCAUCCAUUUUUAGGACGUCGUUUGAUUUUGACCAUUCAUUUUAUGUCCGUUUGAUGGGCUUUAUUAUGAUUUCGAAAAAUUACGAAAUUUAUUUUUUAGAAGUUUCAAAUACUCUAGAUCAUAUUUAACGGAGUGGAUCGUCGAUUUGGAAGCCCCAUCAUCGAAAACAACUUAUGAGUACGAAGGGUCCAAUACUCAUAAGAGUAUAGUAGCCCUAAUAUAUAUAUAUAUAUAUAUAUAUAUAUAUAUAUAUAUAUUAAAGUAGAACCCUUAGUGUAAGAUUAACAUGUGUCUUUCUAUAUACUUGUCACGUGUCAAGCUCAAAUAUAGAAUAACAAUUUUAUUAGAAACACUAUUAAAUCAAAUUAUACCAAUUAAUUAUAAUUAUAUAUACAAUCAAAUCAAAUUAAAUCAAAUAAAGGUUUAUCAUGCAUCUUUCUAUAUGGUUGCCGCUUGUCAAACUCAAAUAUAGCAAUUAGAUGGUUAAAAAUAAAAUUUUAUUAGAAAACAAUAUUAAAUCAAAUUAAAUAUAAUUAUAUAUACAAUUAACAAAAAAUUUAUUAGGAAACACUAUUAAACACUAUUAUUAUAAUUAUACUCAAAUAUAUAUAGAAUAAAAAUUUUAUUAGAAAACACUAUUAAAUCAGAUUAAAUCAAAUUAUACCAAUUAAAUAUAAUCUAUUCUAUUUACUACAUACUAAAGUAGAACCCUUGGUAUAAAAUUGACAUGUGUCUUUCUAUAUGUUUGCCACGUGUCAAACUUAAAUAUAGAAUAAUAAUUUUAUUAGAAAAUACUAUUAAAUCAAAUUAACAAAUUACACCAAUNCUAAAAUUUUAUUACAAAACAAUAUUAAAUUAAAUCAAAUCAAAUUAUACCAAUUAAAUAUAAUUAUAUAUACAAUUAAAGAGAAUUUUAUUAGGAAACACUAUUAAACACUAUUAAAUUAAAUUAUAAUUAUAUAUACAAUUAACUAGAAUUUUAUUAGGAAACACUAUUAAACACUAUUAAGGCUUAGUUUGGCAUUGAGACCUAUCUAACGGUAUUAGAUAGAAUAGAGUUGAGGAAAAAGCAUAUAGGGAUAUGCUUCUGCGUUCUCCAGUGGGACCGCAGAAAAUAUGUUGUAACCGACUCAUCGCGAUAUGCGGAACGCAAUAUUAGUUACGGAAACAAAUAGGGUAUUUUUCCAACGUAUUUUCUCACCGCACGUAACGCAAUUUCCUCAAAAUCCCAAACGAAGCCUAAAUCAAAUUAUAAUUAUAUAUACAAUUAAAUUAAAUUAAAUCAAAUUAAAUAUUUAUCAUGCAUCUUUCUAUAUAUUUGCCAUAUGUCAAACUCAAAUAUAGCAAUUAGAUGGUUAAAAAUAAAAUUAUAUUAAACACUAUUAAAUCAAAUUAAAACAAAUUAUACUAAUUAAAUAUAAUUAUAUAUACAAUUAACUAGAAUUUUAUUAGGAAAUACUAUUAAACACUAUUAAAUCAAAUUAUAAUUAUAUAUACAAUUAAAUCAAAUUAAAUGUUUAUUUCAAAAAUUAUAAUUUUUCAAUAAUUCAACUCUAUCAUUUUAUUUUUUAAAUAAAUUUAGAUUUUUUUCUAAAAAAUUUUACUAAUAUUAUGAUAUUUAUUAUUUUACUUAUUUAACAAAUUAUCUAUAUUGCUAUUGGAGCAGAUACUUUUCAUCUUCAUGCAACAAAAUUUUUUUUUUCCUUCAUAUUUUCUUGAAGAUCAACAUCUAUAUUUAUUUGAAUCUUGAAAGUUGGUAUAUUUCUUAUAUAUAUACGUGUGCUUACUUUAAUUUGUGUUAAACAUGAAAGUUUAGUUGAUCUCAUUAUAUGCUUAAAUAUUAAUGUCGUUUGUAAUUUUUCAUAUCAAUUUGAGUUUUCAUUUUGUUUUGCACAUCAAUAUGUAAAUAUAAAUUAUUUCGCAGACUAAUUCAUAGAUAAUAGAGUAUGGUUGAAUUUUGUUCUUUACUUUGGUCCAUAAUGUAGAUAAAUAGAUUUUCAUUUUCCGCCAAAAUAUCUUGUCCUAGUAAUAUACCUCUUAUUGUUUUAGUCAAAAUUAUUGAGGUGUGCCCCACCCAUGUGGCUUGUUAAAGCCAACUCUUCGGGUCUAUGUAAAGUGUGGUGUUGUUUAAUAAUUAGGGUUGAAAGGCAGAGCAGUAUUACGUCAAAGUCUUUUUUUGUUGGAAAAUUAAAAAUUAAAAAUUAAAGAUUUUAUUUUGGGAGACAAAAAUAUAUUUUAACUGUACUGCUGCAGUAUCUAGUUAAGUUUUUGCGGCUAAUUAAAGUCCUCUAUGAUUUAUGUGGCUGAAGUUGAAAAUAGAAGUCAAACAUGGGGGGCGCAGAUACUGUAAAUACAUAGCAUACGCAUGAACUCUUUACUUCACACCUGAAGCACCUCCAAAUUAAGUUUCUAAUGGCUCUUCCUGACAUGAUUGCCUCCCUGCAGCCUUUCCUUCUUGUUCUCCUACUGCUCCUUCUUCUACUCAUCGCAAGAAGAAACAAGAUCAGUCCAUCACUAAAACUUCCCCCAGGCCCUCCUAAGCUCCCAUUGAUCGGCAACCUCCACCAGUUAGGGAGUCUCCCCUGGCGCUCCCUCUCUCGGCUCUCGCAACAAUACGGGCCUCUCAUGUAUCUAAAACUCGGCAGUAGGCCGACCAUCGUGGUCUCCUCUGCCAACAUAGCCCGGGAGAUCCUAAAGACGCACGAUCUGGAGUCCUGCAGCCGACCGUCCCUCACCUCGUAUGCAAAGCUCUCCUACGGAUCCUCGGACAUCGCCCUUUCAGCGUAUAGUGAGAAGUGGAGAGAGCUCCGAAGAGUUUUCAUCAUCGAACUUCUCAGCAGUAAGAAGGUCGCCUCGUUUCGAUCCAUUCGAGAAGAAGAGGUGGAAAGAACUAUGAGCUUCAUAUCUGACUGCUCAAACAGUUCUCUCCCAGUCGACUUGAGCAAAGAACUGAUAGCGCUUACGAGCACUAUCACCUGUAGAAUGGCUUUUGGAAGGACCUACCAAGAUGUUAGCAGCAGGUUGCAGACGAUUCUAAAAGAAACGGUUGUCUUGCUCGCGGGCUUUUUCAUCGCAGACUACUUGCCUAUCAUCGGAUGGGCCGAUUGGCUCACAGGGAUGAGAGCGAGGCUCGAGAAGAACUUUACCGAUCUUGAUCGGCUCUACCAACAAGUCAUCGACGAGCAUCUCAAUACACUGCAGCAGCAUGACUCGGGUGAAGACUUUGUGCAUAUAUUACUGCGAAUGCAAAAGGAUGAGAAAAGUCUAACCACAGACCAGAUCAAAGCAGCCAUUUUGGUAAGAAAAAUUUUCCAUACCGAAUCACAUAAAACAUUUUUCUUUCGAAAGAAAUCAUUUAUAAAGAACAAUAAAUGUAGCAAUAAGUAUGUAGGCCUAACAAUCUCUAUUCAUACUCUAGGGUACUCAGGAAUUAUCAGUAGAUUUGCGGGUAUUGGGCAUUAAUUAUUUGUGUCCAAAAAAUUAGUGGCAAAAUAAGUAGGUUCAAAUAUUUGGAGGAUCACGCAUACCAGCAUAUACAUAUAUUUUUUUUAUGAAAUAAGUGAAUAUUUAUUUUAUUUUAUCUUAUCUCUAGGAUUGUAAUUUUAAUUUUUCUUAGUGUUAUUUUAAAACUCUAUAUUAUCUUCUAUAUAUUGUGAUAAUUUAAAGGCCUAUUUGUAUAAAAAAAUCCAUAAAUUUUGAGAUUUUGCCAAACUGGGCCGCCUUUUUUCAUUUUGCAGAUUGGGUACGAAUUUUCAGCAAACUGACCAAAAUACUCUUAUUACUUUUUCUCUCCCCUUUUUCUCUCUACUAUUCUUUUCUCUUGUUUAUUUUUUUUUUCUCUUGCCAAAAAAAGUAGAGGAGGCAGAGGCGAAUGCAGAAACGGUCCGCCUCGUCUCUCACCCUCAUGCUCUCGUCCUUGCCCUUCCCCUCGCCCGCGCAACCCCCACCUUCCUCGCCUUCGACCCCACCGAGGCUGCACCGCGACUCUUUUUUUUUUUUUUUCCUCUUCGACCCUCAUCCACCGUCUCCGAUAACGACGCCUCUCUUGCCCUUUCCCGCCCUUCUUGUCUUCUCCCUCCUCCUCUGUCGCAUCCGACGACGACACAUCUUUGCCGACACCGACACUGUGGAGGUCGCUGCGGCGCUGCAGCCUCGGAGUGGGUGUUCCUUAGCGGCGUCGUCGCCGGCGCCGUGACUGUUGGCAGAGAGGAGUGACUAAAAAAAAUUAUAGAAGAAAUAAGAAAAAAAAUAAUGAUAAAAAAUUAUACAAAAAAAAAGAUGAAGAUGAAAUUGCAAUGUUAAAAUAAAAGUAUACUGUUUUAAAAAAACGUUGCACUAUUAUGGACAUAAGUUAUACUACUUAAUAUAUAAACUGCAGCUUUAAGAUGAUAAUUACACUCUUUAAAUAAAAAUUGUACUUUUUGAGAGAUAUUUACACUAUUUCUUCUCGUAUUGCAUUUUUUCAGAUGUAAAUUGCAUCCAUUAAGAUAAAAAUUAUACUCUUUAAACGAAAGUUGCACUCUUUGAGAGAUAUUUAUUUUGUUUCUCCUUUUGUUGCAGUACUCUUUGAGAUAUAAACUGCAUCCCUUUAAGAAAUAUUUAUACUGUUUUUCCUCUUGUUGUACCGUUUCUUCUCUUGUUGCACUAUUUCUUUUCUUGUUACACUAUUUUUUUUCUUAAAGGGUGCAGUUUAAGAGAAAAAAUAGUGUAACAAGAGAAAAAUAGUGCAAUAAAAAAAAAUAAUGCAACAAGAGGAGAAACAAUAUAAAUAUCUCUUAAAGGGGUGCAGUUUACAUCUCAAAAAGUGCAAUAAGAGAAAAACAGUGUAAAUAUCUCUAAAAGAGUGUAAUUUUCAUUUAAAGAGUGUAACUUUAAUCUUAAUGGAUGCAGUUUACAUCUGAAAGAGUGCAAUAAGAGGAGAAAUAGUGUAAAUAUCUCUUAAAGAGUAUAAUUUUCGUUUAAAAAGUGUAAUUUUUAUUUUAAAACUGCAGUUUAUAUCUUAAGUAGUGCAACUUAUAUCCAUAAUAGUGCAAUAUUUUUUUAAAACCGUGUCAUUUUAUUUUAACUGUGCAAUUUUAUUUUUAUCUUUCUUUUUCUAUAAUUUUUUAUCUUUAUUUAUUUUUCUUGCUUCUUCUCUAAUUUUUUUUUAUCACACCUCUCUGCCAGCGCCAGCGACGACGCAGCGAAGGACCCCCCGCUCCAAGUUGGCAGCACCGCAGCGACCUCCACGGUAUUGGCGUCGUCGUUGUCGUCGGACGGUGGAGGAGAGUCAAAGAGGAAAAAAAAGAAGAGUUGCGGUGCGGUCUCGGCAAGGUUGGAGGCGAGGAAGGUGGGGGGGUGCGCAGGUGCCGGCGAGGGCGAAAGCAUGAGGAUGAGAAGCAAGGAGGACCGUUUCCGCUUUCGCCUCUGCCUCCGCUGUCUCUUCGGCAAGAGAAAAAAAAAUGAACAAAAGAAAAAAAAGAGGGGAGAGAAAAAAUAAUAAAGGUAUUUUGGUCAGUUUGCUGAAAAUUCAGUCCGAAUCUGCAAAAUAAAAAAAAUUACCCACUUUUGUAAAAGCACAAAACUAAUGAAUUUUUUAUACAAAUUAGCCUAAUUUAAAUAAUAAUUAUGUUAUUUUUUAAAAAAUAAAUAAACAAUAUAUAUAUUUACGUGUGUGUAUUUGAAAAGUUUAAAGAAUAAAAAAAAACACUUCGUGGGUAAUUCGUAUACCUAUCCGCUUAAAUGUAAUUUUGUGGGUAAUUCGCAUACCUAUCCGCUUACAUGUAUGGAUAAGAAUGCUGACUAUUUAAAAAUUUUUGAAUAAAUUUUAUUCAUACCUAAAUAAAUCUGCGGAUAUAAAAAUCAGUCCAGCGCAUGAAUCAUUCAACACUAAAGUCAUCUUUUUAUACACGAGAUUUCUUUUUUUUGCAGGAUGUUUUCGUUGGUGGGAGCAAUACGUCCUCAGCCACUGUGGUAUGGUCGAUGACAGAGCUAAUGAGGCACCCGCAAGUGAUGAAAAAAGCUCAAGAAGAAGUGAGAAGCCUCGUCGGGGGGAAAGGAAAGGUAGAGGAGAGCGACAUCGACCCACUGCGCUACCUCAAGUGCGUUGUGAAGGAGACCAUGCGGUUGCACCCGGUGGCUCCCAUGCUGCUCCCAAGAACAACGUUGCGGCAUUUCAAAAUCGACAGCUAUGAUGUCCCGCUCGAUUCAAUGAUAUACAUCAAUGCUUGGGCAAUCGGAAGGGACGGGAGUUACUGGGAAUCGCCGGAGGCGUUCAAGCCGGAGAGGUUCAUGAAUAGCUCGGAUCUCGAGUUCGCCGGAAAGGACUUCAAUUUGAUACCAUUUGGGGAAGGUCGCAGGAUCUGCCCAGGGAAGAACCUCGGGCUCAAAACAGUCGAGAUCAUGCUCGCCAACCUUCUUUACUCCUUCGACUGGGAACUUCCAACGGGUAUGACGAAGGAGGACAUCAACAUGGAUGAGGCGCUGGGCAUUGCUGUGCACAAAAGACAUGCUCUCCGCCUUCUCGCCACCAGACAU